UACGUAGGGGGCAAGCGUUGUCCGGAAUUAUUGGGCGUAAAGCGCGCGCAGGCGGUUCUUUUUAGUCGGGUGGUUAAGCCCGGGGCUCAACCCCGGGUCACACCGGAAACGGGAGGACUUGAGUGCCAAAGAGGAGAGUGGAAUUCCACGUGUAGCGGUGAAAUGCGUAGAGAUGUGGAGGAACACCAGUGGCGAAGGCGACUCUCUGGAUGGUCACUGACGCUGAGGCGCGAAAGCGUGGGGAGCAAACAGG
rnacentral:rRNA from 1 species